rnacentral:lncRNA from 1 species
AAUGACUUUCCUGUUUUGUACAUACAUCAUUACCAGUGCCUAACAGAGGGAUGCUCCAGCCAUCUGAGCGUCCUCAUGGCCCUCCUCUGGACUGACUACGACAGGCCCAUGUCCCUCUCAUGCUGAAUGCACUACAUCAGAACCCAAAAAUAAGUGCAGAUUUAGAGAAUCCUGGAAUUAUCAGCGGAGUCCAAAGCCAGCAUUUGUUACAAUCAAUUCAGAGGAGCCAGAGAGCUAUAGUUUGCACAAGAUACGGAAAUACAGACGU